rnacentral:rRNA from 1 species
GGGGAAUCUUGCGCAAUGGGCGAAAGCCUGACGCAGCAACGCCGCGUGUGUGAUGAAGGCCUUCGGGUUGUAAAGCACUGUCAGGAGGGAAGAAAUACCGUCGGUCAAUACCCGACGGGAAUGACGGUACCUCGGAAGGUAGCACCGGCUAACUACGUGCCAGCAGCCGCGGUAAAACGUAGGAGGCAAACGUUAUCCGGAGUUACUGGGCGUAAAGCGCGUGUAGGCGGUUGGGCAAGUUCGGCGUGAAAGCUCCCGGCUAAACUGGGAGAUUGCGUUGGAAACUACCUGACUGGAGUGCGGCAGAGGAGUAGGGAAUUCCGGGUGUAGUGGUGAAAUGCGUAGAUAUCCGGAGGAACACCAGUGGCGAAGGCGCUGCUCUGGGCCGUAACUGACGCUGAGACGCGAAAGCGUGGGGAGCGA